UCCAGCAGUGUGUCGAAAUCAUGGAG
rnacentral:piRNA from 1 species